UUAUGGCUCAGGAUGAACGCUGGCGGCGUGCUUAACACAUGCAAGUCGAACGAAGCACUGGCUUUGAAGUUUCGGACAGAUAAGCCUCUGACUUAGUGGCGGACGGGUGAGUAACGCGUGGGCAACCUGCCGUAUGCAGGGGGACAACAGUUGGAAACGACUGCUAAUACCGCAUAAGCGCACGGGGACGCAUGUUUCUGUGUGAAAAGCCUUAACGGCAUACGAUGGGCCCGCGUUGGAUUAGGUAGUUGGUGAGGUAACGGCCCACCAAGCCCGACGAUCCAUAGCCGACCUGAGAGGGUGACCGGCCACAUUGGGACUGAGACACGGCCCAAACUCCUACGGGAGGCAGCAGUGGGGAAUAUUGCACAAUGGGGGAAACCCUGAUGCCAGCGACGCCGCGUGAGUGAAGAAGUAUUUCGGUAUGUAAAGCUCUAUCAGCAGGGAAGAAAAUGACGGUACCUGACUAAGAAGCCCCGGCUAACUACGUGCCAGCAGCCGC
rnacentral:rRNA from 1 species